rnacentral:rRNA from 1 species
GGGGAGAGAGGGGUCAAACUCUUUCUCUCUCUCUCUCGAAGACCGAUCGGCGACGCUAUAGCUUUGGGUACUUUCAGGACCCGUCUUGAAACACGGACCAAGGAGUCUAGCAUGUACGCGAGUCAUUGGGAUUUUUACUAAACCUAAAGGCGCAAUGAAAGUGAAGGUUUUCCUCGCGAAGACCGUGGGAAGACGGACGGGUGUUGGUUAAAGGUACGAGGUACACCGACUCGAUCGCCCGUCCCGCAUUCCCGGGGCGUCUCGUUCGCAUCGCGCGAAGAGGCGCACCGCGAGCGUACACGCUGGGACCCGAAAGAUGGUGAACUAUGCCUGGUCAGGACGAAGUCAGGGGAAACCCUGAUGGAGGUCCGUAGCGAU